GACGAACGCUGGCGGCGUGCUUAACACAUGCAAGUCGAGCGGAGCGGCGAACGGGUGAGUAACGCGUGAGUAACUGCCCCCCUCUCUGGGAAAACAGUUGGAAACGGCUGCUAAUACCGGAAAGUGGGGGAUGACUCGCGUCCUAUCAGCUUGUGGGUGGGGUAGUGGCCUACGAAGGCGACGACGGGUAGCCGGCCUGAGAGGGCGACCGGCCACAUUGGUCUGAGAUAGGGACCAAACUCGUACGGGAGGCAGCAGUGGGGAAUAUUGCACAGUGGGGGAAACCCUGAUGAAGAAGCGCCGCGUGCGGGAUGACGGCCUGCGGGUGGUAAACCGCUUUCAGCCAUGACGCGGUAGUGGCAGAAGAAGCACCGGCUAACUACGUGCCAGCAGCCGCGGUAAUUC
rnacentral:rRNA from 1 species